rnacentral:rRNA from 1 species
GUGUUACUCGGAAUGAUUAGGCGUAAAGGGUCAUUUAAGCGGUCCGAUAAGUUAAAAGUCGAUGGUUAGAGCCUAACUCUUUCAUGCUUUUAAUACUGUCAGACUAGAGUAUAUUAGAGGAUAGUAGAAUUCACAGAGGAGGGGUAAAAUCCAGUAAUUUUGUGAGGAACACCAAAUGCGAAGGCAACUAUCUGGAAUAUUACUGACGCUGGAAGACGAAGGCAUAGGUAGCAAAUGGGAUUAGAGACCCCAGUAGUCUAUGCAGUAAACGAUGAGUGCUAAACGUGUGAUAAUCUAAGAUUAUUGUGUGUUACAGCUAACGCAUUAAGCACUCCGCCUGGGGAGUACGAUCGCAAGGUUGAAACUCAAAGAAAUUGGCGGGGAUUCAUACAAGCGGUGGAACAUGUGGUUUAAUUCGACGAUACGCGAAAAACCUUACCGAUCCUUGACAUCUAUUGUUGUUUAAUAUGUAGAUAUUUUAUGGAAAAAUAGACAGGUGUUGCAUGGCU